GCCAACUUUCGCGCCGGAAGUGGAAGGCUGGGCAGCCCAGCUGAAGGCAGUAAGCUGGGCUCACCGCUGCAGCAGAGUUCUGUGCUAGCCGGGCAUAGGGGCGAGAGAAGGCCCAGAGGCGACGUCAGAGAGAAGCAACUGCGACCCGGUGAAGAGAAGCUCGCCCAUCACCGGCUGGGAGCCAGCUUUCAGUGAAGAUGGCAGGGCCAGAACUGUUGCUUGACUCCAACAUCUGCCUCUGGGUGGUCUUACCCAUCGUUAUCACUCUUCGUAGGCAUGAUCCGUCACUACGUGUCCAUCCUGCUGGAGAGCGACAAGAAGCUCACCCAGGAACAAGUAUCUGACAGGUCAGCGCCCUCCCUUCCCCAGCCUACCUCACACCGCCGUGACCUUGGACAAGAAAGUGCAGGCGUUGGGUCAAUUUGCCGAGGUUCACGUCUCGCCCCCACUGGCAAGGGGACGAGGCACCCACUGUCCCUCUCCCAUAAGCCUGCCAAGAAGAUUGAUGUGGCCCGUGUAAACUUUGACCUGUACAAGCUGAACCCACAGGACUUCAUUGGCUGCCUGAACAUGAAGGCGACUUUUUAUGAUAUGUACUCCCUUUCCUACGAUCUGCACUGCUGUGGGGCCAAACGCAUCAUGAAGGAGGCUCUCCACUGGGCCCUCUUCAGCAUGCAAGCCAUAGGCCACAUGCUGCUUUACCUCUCGUUACCUGCAGCAGCUCCUCGAUGCUACGGAGGAAGGGCAGCCCCCCAAGGGAAAGGCCUCAUCCCUCAUCCCGACCUGUCUGAAGAUACUGCAGUGAAAGCCCAAGCCCUAGCUUUCCCCAGUGAAGGACUAGACUAGGGACCCCACGCUCAACUGGUAGUGCCCACAAGCCUGGCAGCUCUAGAGCCGCUAACCUCCCCACACCUCCCUCAUCGCACUGGACCCUGAGUUAGGAGGAGGGGCUGGAAACCUGGGGUGGGUUGGCCAAAGGAGAACCUCAGGCUCCUAGCCUGGCCUAGCUCCUUCCUGCCCAAGGUAGCUUAGCCCAUCCAGACUGGUCCCGAAGUCUGCCCCUCAGGAAUCCGGCCUCGCAGGCUGUACUUUCAUGGUGCUCUCUACCUUCUGGCCCCCGUCCCAGAACAUUCCUGAGUGAAUUCUCAAGCACACCAGCAUGUGAUAUUAGGGAAUUUGCAAUAAAUUAUUGAUGCUGAUGUA